AAGGAGCAGUAACUGGCCGCGACUGUUUGCCUCUAGGCAUGCAUGCUGUGUGUGGGGGUUGGUUGUGGUCGGUGGUCGCUUUCGGCAGCGUGUGUCUGUCGGGUGGCUGCUCAUAGAUGUGGAGCACUGGUUACUCAGGCUGCUGCGUGUGCGUGCCGGUUAGUACCGCCCACUGUUCGGUGGGAGUGGGAAGGGCGGUUACUGGUGCGUGGUGGUUUGGGCACGCUGUUGGGUCCUGAGGGAACGGGCCUUAUGGUCCGGGGCCUCUGGACUGCGGGGUCAGAUCACCCGGCUCUGUGUUGGGUUGGGUGUCUGGUUGUCCCGGAUGUUUCUUGAGAACUGCACAGUGGACGCGAGCAUCUCUGAUGGACGACCUUUUGUGGGUUGUCUGUCUGCGAUUUGCAGCAGAUCGUUUUGU
rnacentral:misc_RNA from 1 species